GGGGGAGGGUAAAUCGCCUCCUUCCGACCGACGCGGCGCUCUCGGUGGGAGAGGAAGGCGUGGGGCCCAGCACAGCGUGGAGAUGGCCUUGCCCGGGCCUCUCGGGCACCCAGCCUGCUGAAACGAGGCCUGGGAACGCGUCUCCUGCAAGCCCUCUGAGGUCCCACCGCGCCGAGCGCCCUCGGUUCUUUCUACACCGGCUCUGCCGCUUCUGCAGCGAGGCCCGGGGACCGAUGACUCACCCUACCGGCUAAUUACAGCGUUAAAUAACUUCGCGCUGGAUCCCGGGGAAGCGGGCGGCGCAGCAGCUAGGGAACGCGAUGCGGGAGGAGGGGCCGGGGGAGAUGCAGGGGUGCUUUGAGAACACACCCCCGUUCCUGCCGCCCGCUCGGCAAGUUCUGGCCCGUGGAGGCUCCCCCAGAGCUCACAGCGUCGGGCCCUUUCCUACACAAUGUCCGGCGGUGGCCGGUGGGCAGGGGCACCAGCCCCCAGAGGGCCCUCCCGUCUGGAGGAAGCCUCAUCCACAUUCGCCAGGCAGCCUGCGCAAGGGGACCCUCGCCCACGUUUCACGGAAACCAUCUGCCCAGUGAAUAUAUGUGAAGGCCUUUCGUGCGUCUCUCUGGACAUUUGCGUGGGACGGACGUGAACGGCGGUGGCUGCGCGGAGAAGGAGCAGGGAGACGAGGUUUGCAGCCACCUCCGUGGAGGAUGGAGCAGCUUCUCCAUUCCCUAUGCUGUGCUGCGGCAACCAGAUUGAUGAGGCUUUGCUGGAGGAAGUGAGCUGCCUUGCCUGGUCCUGAGCCCGGCCUGGAUGGAGACCUGAGUCGGCCUGCGCACGCUGGGGGCUGCCGUGCAGCAGCCUCUCAAGUCCGAGGACCCAGGCUGGCUCGUGGUUUAGGAUUUCUCCAGGAUCUGGCCUCCUCUCUCCUCCAGAGCCUGCUUCUGCCAGCCCUUCACUCGACCCCUGACCACUGUUCCUUAAAUGAGUGGUGCCUCUUACCAAAGCAAGCCCUUGGCAUAUGCUGUUCCCGUUUCUGCUUUAUGUUCCCCGGGCCACAUCCUCACCUAGCUUCUGCUGUCCCCUUUCUUAGACCUUAGCUUCAGCUCCCUUAAUUGCCCUCUCUUAUGUUGGGUGCCCACUGUCCUUUGAACAGUGAAAAGAGUGCUCCCAAAGACUUUCUAGUUUAGUCCUGGCAACGAACCCUGAGGCAGGUGGCUCUGCUCUCCUCACAGAGGUGUUCCAUCCCAAACCCAGACUCUGCCCACCUCCCUGGUCCCCACCUCCCUGCACCCCCUCCUUCCUGCACCCCUCCUCCCUGCACCCCUGCCUCCCUGCCCCUCAGCUCCUGGCCAAAGUUCCCCAUCACAGGCAGGAUCUCCCAGUGGUCUAAAUGUCUGUCUUCCCAACCAUAUUGGGGGCUCAGUGCAAGCAGGGUCCAUGUCCAGCUUGUCCCCACCCCCUCUCCAUCAGGACUCCCCAUCAGGCCCCGUCCUGGCCGUGUGGAGUGGACAAGUGAGCAGAUGAAUGAAUGGGUAAGCUGCUGCCAACCUGGGGUUGCUGUCCUGUGACGCAUCUCAUGUCAGUCCAGUUUUGCUCACGAGGAGAACAGGGCCAAGUAACGCAGACCAGGCCCGCAGGACGGCGAGGACCCACCUCCCUGCUGCAGUGAGGGAGGGCACUCGGGCCAGGAGCCAGAAGCAGAGCGUGUGGAGCCCUGCAGGCAGUGACCAGCAGGUGUCCUGUCAUGAAGGGCCUUGAGCUGUGCAAGUUCGGACUUUGUCCUGAGGGAGGAAGGGACAGCAGUCUGCAGGCCCUGCCACACAAAGCUCCCAGGGACCCUGUCACCGCGCCACUCUCAGCUCUGCAACCCAUGCAUAGUUUGGAUGUUAAUUCCACUGCUUUUUUUUUAAUGGCUGUGCUGGAUCUUUGUUGCUGCUCAUGGGCUUUCUCCAGUUGUGGCAAGUGGGGCCUACUCUCUAGGUGUGGUGUUCGGGGCUCACUGCCAUGGUUUUCAGGGUGCAGAGCACGGGCCCUAGCGCUCACAGGCUUCAGCAGUUGCGGCUCAGGCUUGGUAGUUGUGGCUCAUGGGCUGUGUUGUCCCGAGGUGUGUAGGAUCUUCCCAGACCAGGACUCGAACCCACGUCCCCUGCAUUGGCAGGUGGAUUCUUUACCGCUGAGCCACCAGGGAGGCCCUCCCCUGCUUUCUGGCAGAGUCCUUUCCCCCAGGCCCCAACAGGCUCACCUGUGAAGCUUGUCCCCCUGACAGCCCCUGGCACAGUGGGGUCCAGGGGGUGACUUGAGGGCCGUGGUGAACUCUGAGGCAGGGAGCUCAUGCCAGAAAGAAGCAGCACCCUCAUGAGAAAUGACUCUACAUGGGGAGGGGUGGGUGGCAAGGAGUGAUUUUAAGAAUCACAAAGCCUACCACAUACCAAGCGAGCUCGCAGGGACCCUCGUGGCAUCUCUGUGCGGGACACAUAACUGUCGCAGUCUAAGAACAGAGAACCAGAGAGGACAACAGGUUUAAAAUGUCACGUGUGUUUUUUUUUUAUUAUAGCAGUAAUCAUGCAUCAAGUGAAGAAUGUUUUUCCUAUUAACGUUAAAUUUCAAUAUUUACAUAUUUAUUAGCAUGUAAAAUCCAAUUUCCUACAGUGUUUACUUCAAUUAAUUUGGCUGAUUCUAAUUAUUUUUUCUAAUUUGUUUUUCAUUUUACUUUUCAGUAUUUCCUCCUUUAUCUUUUUAACUGGCUAAGUGCUCAGAUUUUUCUUUCAUUAUUAAUUCUAAGCCCCUUUUUUAGGGAAUGGUCAGUAUAGAUCUUCCUGUACAAGUGCGGCCACCUCUGCACAGGUGAUGGUUAAUCUGAAGACCUCAGUCUCACAAAUCAGAGCCUGUGAAUUCUGGAGACACAGAAUCUACCUUAUUAUUUUAUAAGUUUUUGUCUUAUAAUAGAGCCACAGAAAAACCCAUAAAACAUGCAUGUAACAGUUUACUGACAUAAACCAGCAUCUGUGUCCUUGCCACCAAAUCAGGAAACAGAACACUGCAGACUCAAGGGUGCAGCUCACCUCAGCCUCCCCCAGAGGUCCUGCUGACCUCAUCGAACCGCUUCCUUCUGUUUAUUUGUACUUUAAUCACCUAAGUAUACAUCCCUGAACAUUUUAGUUUGGCUUUGCCCGUUUUUUUUUUAUUAUACAAGUGAAAUGAUAGAGCCUGACUGUUGCACAUCUUGUUUCUUUCAUCCAACUUGAUGCCUCCUGUUGUGUCUCUAGUUUAUCUCUGUCAAAGCUGGUACUAAGCCAUUGUGUAAAUGUGCCAGAGUUUAUCCACGUUACUGUUGAUGAGCAUUUGAUUGUUUCUAGUUUGGGAGAUUAUGAAUAAAGCUGUUGUGAACUUUCUUAUGCUUGUGCACUGAUGCACUUGAGGGUGGAUUUUAUUUGAUCAUGAGUAAUAUAAUGUAUAUGCUCAGCUUUUUGUGCCCAUUUUUAUUGAGAUACAAUUUAUGUGCAAUAACAAUCACUGAUUUUAAGUGUUUGACUCAGUGACUUUAGACAACUGUACACGUUGGUGUGAGUCUCCACCACAGCACGACACAGGAAUAGUCCAAACACCCCCAAAGUUCCCCUUUCUGGCAAUGCUCUGCUCCACUCAAGGCCCUACAGAACUGCUCAUCUGCUUUCUCGUGCUAUAGUUUUGGUAUAAAAUUUCAGAUACUUGCAGUCAUAAAAUAUAUUGUCUUUCAUGUUUGGUUUCCACCAAAAUUUGUUUAUAAUUCAUAAAAUGAUGGACUUUGUCCAUAUGGAGUUAUUAUGAAUUAAUAUGUUAAUGCAUGUUAAUUAAUAACGUGCAUGCACAAGUUAAUAACAUUAAUUAACAAAUCAACAUGUUAAUCAACAUGUUAAUCACAAGUUAAUCA
ensembl:lncRNA